rnacentral:rRNA from 1 species
AACAAACGCUGGCGGCGUGCCUAAUACAUGCAAGUCGAACGGGGAAAGCUUUCGGGUGAGUACUAGUGGCGCACGGGUGAGGAACGCGUGGAUAAUCUGCCUUAGAGUGGGGGAUAACUAGUCGAAAGAUUAGCUAAUACCGCAUAAGACCACGAGAGCUGCGGCUUUUGAGGUCAAAGGUUUUUCGCUCUAAGAUGAGUCCGCGUAAGAUUAGCUAGUUGGUGAGGUAACGGCUCACCAAGGCGACGAUCUUUAACUGGUCUGAGAGGAUGAUCAGUCACACGGGAACUGAGACACGGUCCAGACUCCUACGGGAGGCAGCAGUAGGGAAUAUUGCACAAUGGAGGAAACUCUGAUGCAGCGACGCCGCGUGAGUGAUGAAGGCCUUCGGGUCGUAAAGCUCUGUCGCAGGGGAAUAACACAAUGAAGGUACCCUGUAAGAAAGGAUCGGCUAACUUCGUG